ensembl:lncRNA
ACAGACAGACAGACAGACAGACAGACAGACAGACAGACAGACAGACAGACAGAGAGGCAGACAGAGAGGCAGACAGACAGGCAGACAGACAGACAGACAGACAGACAGACAGACAGACAGACAGACAGACAGACAGACAGAGAGGCAGACAGAGAGGCAGACAGACAGACAGACAGACAGACAGACAGACAGACAGACAGACAGACAGACAGACAGACAGACAGACAGACAGACAGACAGACAGACAGACAGACAGACAGACAGACAGACAGACAGGCAGACACACAGACAGACAGAGCAGCCGCCCCAUAUUUCACUCAUAUCAAAAGAGGCAACAGUAAUGCUAUCAACGCCUCACAUAAAAACACGAUGGGAGGAAAUGAAAGACAAAGAAAGAGAGGAGGCACAACAAUGAGAAACAUUAGUUCUGUAAUUCUCCUGAGUGCUUUCAUUCCCUCUGCAACAUGCAUAGUUUCUCCUAACACCCUUGGUGUUAGUUAUUUAGGAGAACAAGUCAGGGGGGGUUAAGAAUCAAGCAUACAUGCAAAUGCAAUUAGGGGCUAUUUGCAUACCCCCUUCAUGAUUAAGCAGAUGGUGGCCGUUAAAAGUUGUCCGCAGUCUCCAUCUUGGCAGCGCAAGCAGCUCUGUUUGGGCAGCCAUUUUGUAAGCAGGCGUCAAGGCAUUGCCAGGCUGACACAGUGUGGCGCCUGUCUCUCUGUGCCAGCAGAUUGGCGCGGGAAUCUUAAUAAUACUCGACUGUGAGCAAUGCAACUACUGCACCAUUCAAUGACAUCAUUCUGGGCAUUAUGUUUGAUGAAGGCAAGCCGCAAAAACGUAGGAGAAUAGUCUGUGUUGCGUUGCCCUGUAUACUGUCUAUUAGUCAGUAUGGACUGUAGUCUGUCUUUGUCUAAGAUGAUGAAUAUUCCUAAGACAUUUCACAUAGCAUUUUAAUGUUUACCCAGCUAUCGUCACAUGACUUGUCACAUCUGUGUAAAAGGCCUACUUACCAAGUGAAGUCUGCCCCAUUGUGUUGUUUGUAGAUCUCUCUCUGUGCAGGUGUUCCUGUUGCAGGCCCGUUUGUCCUCUCCAGCCCAGCAGAUAUGGACAAUCCUUUUCUUCCCCAAUGAAAAAAUAAAAUUCUGCAUUUUGCAUCUCAGGCUUUCCAUUCAGCAAUGAUUGAGUCAUUUUCAUUCCAUUGUAUUUUUUUGAGUAUCUAAAGAUAGGGCUUCUUGUGUGGAUUCUUCAACUAUGAAGAAAAAAUAGAACUGGUGGAGAGGACCACUGUUCAGGCACUAUAAAAUAUGUCCACAGUCCUUUUCAUCUUUCACUCAAUUAGGACUCCUUCACUCCUGAAUGUAGUUCAGUUGUAUAGUGAAGUUAUCAGUUACUACUACAGCAUGUAACCACCACAGACAGUGAAAGGUACUGGACUAAAUCCAGCUCCAUUUAGAUCAAUAACCUCUGCCAUAUCCACUGAUAGUGACCUGAGUCAUAAGGAAGAAAAUGGGAGGCAAAAAAUACAAGAUUUAAUCUGAAUCUGUAGUUCAAAUUGGCCUUUUAUCCUGGUUCAUCAGAUGUGGAGAGCAUGGUGGCUGUACAGUUCAUGACUGGAGGGGGACUGACGAGAGACGCCUGUUCAAUUCAAUGGAAGAGGCCUUUUCACUGAACUCUCAUUCAAACAGUCAGGUGAAACGAGUAAUCAGAGGGAAAAAUAGGAGAAAAAGACCUUUGACGUCCAUACUUUAUUCUCUCUCUCCUUCGCUCUCUCGCUCACAGGCAAAGUUAUAUCAAGUGGUCUUGAGCCAGGAAAGCCCCUCCGGCGGAACCACACACACAGACGUGCUAACACACACACACACACGCACGCACGCACGCACGCACGCACACACACACACACACACACACACACACACACACACACACACACACACACACACACACACACACACUCAAACACACACACACAGUGCGGGUUGGCUGGUUCUGGGACUGGGAGAGGGAAGAGAGGGCUGGCAGCGCUGGGUCCCUGGGCUCUAGGGCCAGGGGCAGUGCUGGGCGACCCCUGCUAGCCUCUCUCCUCCAUAUUGAUUUGCUACUCCACGCUGCCGAGGAGCAACUUGCCAGCGGGGAUGAGAGCCUACUUUGCCUCCCCUCGCCUCGACUCGCCUGCCCACUCCGCCGUUGCCUGGCUGGCCCCAGCCAGCUCCCUGAGACCCCUGCACGGAGCAGAGAAGAGCCAGAGAGCCUAUGGCCAUCCACUACUGGGUUCACCUGCUCCCUGGUUCACCACUCACUGCUCCAUUCUUUUCCUCUCCUUCCACCCACUCCCACUCUCCUUCUCUUCCGAAUCUUCUUUCUCUCUGUUUCUCCUGCUCCUGCACACAAAUAACAAGAGACAAGGAGAAAAACAACAAGUUGAGCUUAAGUUGCCCACUCCAGAUGUCAAUCCUGUGCUUUGAUCAGGAAGAUGUGGGGGGUGAAUCUUUUGGCAUCAUCUCAAUUUGUGAGAUGACUCUCAAACCAACCCACCCACCCACCACCACCC